UUUUUUUCCCAAGUGUUCGAUCUUUUUUUUCACUUGGUCAUUGCAAUGAGUCCAUCUAGUUGAUCACAUCAAUUAUUAAAAAAUUUGCUAUGAAUUCGCCUAUCUAAUUAGUUAUUUGUAUGUUCUCGCUCUAGAAGUCGUUAGCUAAGAUUAUCAACUCUUAGCUUGGAAAAGAAUCUUAUACAUAAGCCCAAAAUAAGGACGCAGUGGAGGGGACAGAUUUGGAGGCAUUUGAUUUGCACCCACUCUCUACGUCAAAUUUUAUUUAAUUGUUUUGCAAUUCUUCUACCUGUUGUUUUUCUUUUUUUGCUCCCUUCUUGUUUUCCUUUUCCCUUUUUGUUUUCUAUUUCUCAUUUCUUGCUUUAGAUUUUUGAUUCAACUAUUUUGACAAUGAAGAACUCUUUAAGAAGUUUUUGGAGAAGUAGUCUUAGUAGUAUUUGUAAUUACAUUGUUAUUAAGUUGACUUUUAGAUGAGAAUGGACAAGAACUGACCAUGGAUGGAUGAGCCAAACAUUCAAUAUGGUUUGGGGUGAGGAAUGUAAUGAGGCUUUAUACGUAAUAAGAUUACGCUAUGUAAAUGGCAUAAAGUAUUGCCUCUGAAAAGAAAUAAAUAGAAUAGUCUACGUGCUCUUGAUAGUGAUUGGCCUUCUUUUGUUCAUACCCUUUCUUUUGUUCACACCAUUUCUUCUGUUUGACGUCAAUUGCAUGCGAUGGUACAACAACACAGCUGGAUUUCAACCCUUAUUUCAAUUAUUUUGAAAAACUAUGAAGCAGAAGCGGAAGCGGAAGCGGACAAAUAUAACUAAUCUGAAUGUUGAUGUACUGAAAUGUAUCAUGAGUUUUGUAGCUAAAUCUUUGAAUGGGGCUGGCAGUUUUGCAAGGGCAAUAUCGGUGGGAUGAAGAGUCAGUGUGAUGAGAAAAUGUCUGAUUUUGUCUUUUGUAAGAUAAGAACAGUCUCUACAAAAAUAGUAUGUUUAUUCAUAUACUUCUGGCGAUUUUUGAAUUAAUUUGUGUUUUUAUUUUUCAGGUCAGAAAUUUCCUGGAGAGAUGCAAAAU